rnacentral:lncRNA from 1 species
AUGUAUACACAGCACUUCUAUUUUGUGGGUGUCACGUGGUUGGAGUGGCUACUCGUUUCCGGUCCGGCUUCCCUACUGCACUUUUCAGUUGGGCCUGAAACUGUUUCGACCAGAUCAAGCAUGAAGAGCAGACGGUCACCUCGGGCCAAGACCUGCCCCCUCCAAGAGGCAGCUGGACGUUGACCUUCUACCCUUUACUGUGACCUUUACUUUUUCUGCUUUCUGGUCAGUUGGGGAAGGGACAGAUAUGCCCUGAGUUACCGAAAACUCUGCUGGUGGCUUGGGAGUCUGUUCAGGACUGGAGAUAAUCCAACCUACCAUGGGUGUCUAAAAAUAGAACCAAGCCAGCAAGAAGCCAGCUGGUUAGGGA